CGCAGUUGCUAGAGGUGCCCCGCCUGUUGGUGCGGUGGGGCUGAGAAACACUCUUGGUACCUGAUCUGGGUCAUGCCAGCGUAGGGAAGCACCGCCCUGAUGGG
rnacentral:ncRNA from 1 species